AAGAUCACACUUCACAGGAUCAUUUCUGCAGUAGAUCUACUCUCUACUCAAAAAUAGAGUUGUCGCAACCAUGAGGAUGAGGCGCAACCUCGUUUCCUGAGCGCGAGCUGUGAUCUCGGUUUGCCUUAUGAGGGUAAAUCCGGUGAUCCACGAUGAUCUUUCGACCCUCCCUUGGUGGGAGUUAGGCAGUCCUCGUGGU